rnacentral:rRNA from 1 species
CGGAGGUUACUGCUAUCGGAGUUCGAUUAAGCCAUGCGAGUCUAAAGGUUUCUUCGGAAGCCUUGGCGGACUGCUCAGUAACACGUGGAUANNNACCCUUNGGGACUGGAAUAACCCCGGGAGACUGGGGAUAAUACNGGAUAGAUCAGGGAUGCUGGAAUGCACCUUGAUCCAAAGCUCCGGCGCCCAAGGAUGGGUCUGCGGCCUAUCAGGUUGUAGUGGGUGUAACGUACNUACUAGCCGACGACGGGUACGGGUUGUGAGAGCAAGAGCCCGGAGAUGGAUUCUGAGACACGAAUCCAGGCCNUACGGGGUGCAGCAGGCGCGAAACCUUUACAAUGUGCGAAAGCAUGAUAAGGGAACUCCGAGUGCCAGUAUCUAAUACUGGCUGUCCUUGUGCCUAAACCGCACAAGAUAGCAAGGGCCGGGUAAGACCGGUGCCAGCCGCCGCGGUAACACCGGCGGCCCGAGUGGUAGCCGCUAUUAUUGGGUCUAAAGGGUCCGUAGCCGGUUCGAUAAGUCCUCUGGGAAAUCUGGUUGCUUAACAAUCAGACUGCCAAGGGAUACUGUUGAACUUGAGACCGGGAGAGGUAAGAGGUACUUCAGGGGUAGGAGUGAAAUCUUGUAAUCCCUGGGGGACCAUCUGUGGCGAAGGCGUCUUACCAGAACGGGUCUGACGGUGAGGGACGAAAGCUGGGGGCGCAAACCGGAUUAGAUACCCGGGUAGUCCCAGCCGUAAACGAUGCUCGCUAUGUGUCAGGUACGGUGUGACCGUAUCUGGUGCCGUAGGGAAGCCGUGAAGCGAGCCACCUGGGAAGUACGGUCGCAAGACUGAAACUUAAAGGAAUUUGCGGGGGAGCAC